GAUGAAGAACGCAGCGAAAUGCGAUAAGUAAUGUGAAUUGCAGAAUUCAGUGAAUCAUCGAAUCUUUGAACGCACAUUGCGCCCGUCAGUAUUCUGGCGGGCAUGCCUGUUCGAGCGUCAUUACGCCCCUCAAGUCCCCUGUGGACUUGGUGUUGGGGAUCGGCGAGGCUGGUUUUCCAGCACAGCCGUCCCUUAAAUUAAUUGGCGGUCUCGCCGUGGCCCUCCUCUGCGCAGUAGUAAAACACUCGCAACAGGAGCCCGGCGCGGUCCACUGCCGUAAAACCCCCCAACUUCUGAAUGUUGACCUCGAAUCAGGUAGGAAUACCCGCUGAACUUAAGCAUAUCAAUAAGCGGAGGA
rnacentral:misc_RNA from 1 species